CAAACAAACGGAAACUCAUUCUGAGCCUCUCUGUGGACCCGGUGACAUUUUGAUGUUUUCUCUCUCCUCAGACAGUCACAUGACCACCAUGUCUGCAAAGCUCUCAGGAAACUUCAGGAAAAUCAAAGUUUAUGUGUAAAGAUGGCUGCAGUUAUUGGUAUUUAAGGCAGCAAAAUAAGAAGCUUUGAGUACUUUCGCUGGGGUCAAGGUGGUGCUGAACCAACAUCAAAUGUAAAAUUUACAGCUUUUGUCUUGUAGAAACUCAGCAAGAACAUUCUUUUAUACAACCUCUGUUUGUUUAUUGGACAUCAUCAACUGUUUCACUAGAUUUCCCAGAGUUAGAGCUGAAAGGAAAUCGGUCGCUGGACUGUUAAGGAAACUUCUCUUCAGACAGAUUGUGAAGUGGAUGUGACGGGCUGGGUGGUACAACCAACAUUUCAUAUCCUGGUAUCAUUACAGUCCUGCAUGAGACGGCGUGCGAUGGCGCUGGUCUGAGGGCGGCUGCUCAGGCGUGGCUGUCUGUUCCUGGCUGCUGCAGCUGCGGCUGAACGCUGGAGACCAUGUGACACCCCUGGGGCUUCUCUGUCUCCAGCCUCAUCCCAGUCUCUUCUGUCUGGGAAAAAAAAACAGAGCGGGCGGCCGGAGCGACGAGCGCGUCUGACAAAUUCAAUCAGUCACAUUAACUGCAGGGCGGAUGGGAUCUGCUGUCUCCGCAAGAGGCCUCGGCGGACACUUCUGACGUGAGCGCUCGAUACCUUUAGUCUGGCAACAGCUUAAUUAAGACUCGGAUUUGUUUUUGCCAUCCAGGCUUACCUUAACGUCAUAAAAAACGACACUUUUGUUCUCACUUCUACUCACUUUUAUUUCAGUGUAUUUUUCAGCUUUGACGACGUAACAAACCGACUGCAGGAGCUCUCUUUGUUCUCAUUUUUCAUUGACAUUUUCCUCACAAACGUAGCCGUCUGUGUGGACGCUAUAUUAUCCAUAAGCUGCUGCAGCUUCAGCUGCACCUACUCCAUCACUUAAGCGAGCCUGAAAGGCUGACCCGGAUGUGUCAGAAAACAACAGAGUCUUUCAGCGUUUUUCAGCAGAAACGGGGCCGGAGGCUUCGCCGCAUUUUUCAAUAACUCAGCCUGAAUGACACAAUGCUCCAGUCUGCUGCGCAAAGAGAGGGAAUGUCUGUGACUGUUCGACAGGAGGAAGAAAAACCCCAAAAUGAACACCGCCCAUCAUGCCUCCGGCUUCUGAUAUCUGAGGGUUCGGCGAGCAUCCACCCUGACCGCUUUUUAAAAACCCACCCUGACUCAUUUUUAUGGCCAAGCAUUUACCACAACAGGAGACUCUGCCCUUUUAGAGAGUUUUAAUUUGCUUUUAAACUCAAGAAUAAUUUUAUCACUUCAAUUGUUGUUUUAAUGUUUGAGCUUUUAAGUUUUAACUGAGGUCAUGCUAUGCCAUACUUUGAAUAAACUGGUUUGCUGAUAUUAAAA